rnacentral:rRNA from 1 species
GCAGUGGGGAAUCUUGCACAAUGGAGGAAACUCUGAUGCAGCGAUGCCGCGUGAGUGAAGAAGGCCUUUGGGUUGUAAAGCUCUUUUGUAGGGGAAGAUAAUGACUGUACCCUAAGAAUAAGGUCCGGCUAACUUCGUGCCAGCAGCCGCGGUAAUACGAAGGGACCUAGCGUAGUUCGGAAUUACUGGGCGUAAAGCGCGCGUAGGCCGUUGAGUUAGUUAAUUGUGAAAUCCCAAAGCUUAACUUUGGAACUGCAAUUAAAACUGCUCGACUAGAGUUUGAUAGAGGAAAGCGGAAUACAUAGUGUAGAGGUGAAAUUCGUAGAUAUUAUGUAGAACACCAGUUGCGAAGGCGGCUUUCUGGAUCAACACUGACGCUGAGGCGCGAAAGUAUGGGUAGCAAAGAGGAUUAGAUACCCUCGUAGUCCAUACCAUAAACGAUGAUUGCUAGAUGUUGGAAAUUUAUUUUCAGUAUCGCAGCUAACGCAUUAAGCAAUCCGCCUGGGGAGUACGACCGCAAGGUUAAAACUCAAAGGAAUUGACGG